CUCCUGCCUCUCAAGUAAUUUAAUCUCCCCUGCAUACACCAAGGUACACAUUCCCUGACCAAGGUGUUAUCUGACCUAAGCUUCCAGAUUGGUGGUAGGGUCACUUUCAUGACCCAGAGAGUGAGGAGUCUAGGCUGCAACAUUUCAGGAGGUCCCCGAGUGCUGGACCAGCCUCUGAAAGCAAGCACCUCCUUAAAUGUUAUGGUCUAGUUCCCUUGCCUGCUUCACCCUAGUUCUAGCCCUUGUUUUGAUCUUUGAAAGACAUUUCAGAGUUUUCCCUCCAUAUUAAGAAAAUUAAACAGAUAAAUGGAUCAAAAAGCAGCCAUGUAAAAUGCAUGGCCAGUCAAUAUCCUGCAUUGCAGAUAGGACUGCUCCUGAGUGAGAUCUCUGGAGAGAGAGCAUUACCAAGAAUGGUUAGGAAGGUUGCUAAGAAAGUGAUCUGAUAUGGAGUUCCCAUUGUGGCUCGACAGAAACUCCGUCAGAUGGCCUCUUGCCUUGGCUGACAUGUAGCCCGCCUUCCUGUUCUUCCCCAAGCCCUGCCUCUAGGGGCAUAUGCUCCCCUGCAGGACUUUUGCCCCUCUUGGUCCCAGCAGGACCUGGAGGCCAGGAGAGGCGUGAGUGGCAUAGGAGGAUGAAGGAAGCUGAGGAUGGUUGCUUCUCCGCUCUGACUUCUCAUCCGUAAAAGGAGUUCCAUUUGCUGUGCAACGAGUGAUGGCUGAGCAUGCUGCAGGUGCCAGGCGAAGUUUCCUCUCCUCUCGGCGCUUACUCCCAGGUGUGGGAAGGUGGUAAAGGAUGAGAGCACGAGGGAGAAAGCAAGCAAGGCAGAGGUCAGGGUGCGCUAGGAGGAAGGGGUGCCAGGGAGAAGAUUAAGGAGGAACGGACUCCCUGAGGUGGGGUGGGGAAGGUGGCUUUAUUCUUCAGGGGGUAAGAGAAGGCCGCCCUGCUAACAUUUGAACUGAGCCCUGAACGAAAUGGGGAGUGAGCUGUGUGGAUAGUUGGGAAGCGUGUUCUAAGCAGGAGGAAUAGCAGGUGCCAAGGCCCUGAAGGAGUGUCCAUAUGUUCAAGAUGUAGCAAGGAGGUCUUGGUAGAAACUGAGGUCAGAGAAGUCAUAGAGGGCCAGGCCACUGAGGGCCUUGUCAUCUGCCAUAAAUACUCUGAGCCAGAUGGGACUGAUGGAGCCUGACUUAAGCUGUAGGAGGAUCAUGCUGACUGCUAUAGUGAGAAUAGCCUCAGGGGAGCCAGGGUGAAGCCUUGGUCCAAAUAAAGAGCCUUCUCCCCUGGAAGCUUUUCCUUAUAACCAACCUUUGAGUACCCCUAAGAUGGUUUUAGCUCUUUUUUUUUUUUUUUUUUUUUAAUUUUUUUUUUUUU
rnacentral:lncRNA from 1 species